CAAAAAAAAAAAACAGGAUGGGCCUACUGCCACUUACUAAGCCCAAUACAGGGGGUGUAUGGACAAUGGAGUGGGUAUGUGAGAUAGCAAACUCACUUGGGCUUGUGAAAGCCCGAAAAUGAAAAAUGAAUAAACAGAUACCCUAAUCCUAUUGCAUGCAUUCAACAUCUUCACUAAGAUGAAGAUCCGGUAGCGACGGCGAAUCCGAUCGCGCUGAGUCUCGUCACCGGCGACGGAGACUCGAACCUCCGUGAUGCUCUCCGCUUCUACUCUCCUCCACCGCCGUGACUACGUAUUCCACAAACCAAUCCCCGACGCCGGGUUGCAACGAUAUCAAAAAAAUGGAUUAAACGCGAAGUAGAGAAAAGUCUUACUGAUUCUGAUGUGGAGGCGUUUCGAUUCGUGCUCCCGUGGCUCCGGUUUCUUGCUCUUCCAAGAUUUCACUGAAUCGUGAUGAGGAAUCGACUGAGAUGUACUGAGUGCUCGCGUUGGUGUGGGAUUCCGCUGAAUUCGCCUUGCCAUUACAGGUUUGAAGAGACUUUGAUGGAAUGGAAAAGUGGUUGCUCCAAGCUUCAAGACAGCAUGUUUUUGCACCUAGGACCAAAGGAGUGUUUAACCACUUAGUCAAAAAAAAUGUAAUUAUUUAGCCAAAAAAUGUAAUUAUUUAGUUUAAUAAUUAUAGCUCUGAGAUAUCUAAUAGAAUUAGGAACCUGUUUUCCACUUAAUCAAAAAAUAAUGUAAUUAUUUAGUUUAAUAAAAAAUUUAAAGACAAAAUGUAUUUGGAUUAUUUGGAACCUUUUGAAUUAAAUUUUAAUUAUGUAAUUAUCUUUUAA